CACCACCACACACACACACCUGCAUUACCAUGUGAAAACAAAAAUGAAGACGUGAAGGGUCUCCCGGCAUGUGCUUUGAUGGUCUUUCUCCUUUCUCCUCCAGAGUUGCCUAAUUUAGGGCCGCCGCCAACCCCCCCCCCCCCAGAGCUAACGAGAUUAACACACGUGUGCUGUGGCGCACACGCACAUUCUGUUUGCGAGCCAGGAAACAGCGAGAUGCCAAAAUCGUAAGAAACAACCCUCCGUCUGGGGCGGCCGACCGGAGAGAGUGUGAAGCUUUCUUUGGCCUGCUGUGUCCAAAGAAAGAAAGUGAGGAAAUAAAGAGGGAGGGAGCCCCCGAGACCACGUCCAAACACAGCAAACAUGGCAGCACCACACACUGCGUGUAUACUCGGACGUGGCCCGAGCAGUGGAUCUUUUAUCGCUGA
rnacentral:lncRNA from 1 species